UAUCUUCAACUCUGAAGGAACAUCCGUAUUAUGUAAAACAAAACAUUUUUACAAAACAAAUCAAAUAAGAGUUUUACAUCUUUUAGAUCUAGGACUUCUUUAAAUGGUUAAAAAUAUUUUUCACAAAGCUGAUAAUUGACAUAAAGUUUCACUGACAUGCAUAAUAUCGCUAAAGUAGAUGAGUAUGAUGAAGGAUUAAGCUCAUUGUCAAUGUAUAAGUAUCAAUAAGGUUAUGGAAAACAGAAAUUGAAAAUUGGAAAGCAGUUUUAUUCUUAUUUUUAUGAUUAACUUACCAUUUAAAGCAGAAACAAAAAUGUAACAUUUUCAUUUGGCAUGAAACACGGCAGGUGCAGAUAAUUUCUCAUUCAAUUUAUAAAUGACAGGAGCAGAUAAUUUCACAUUUAAUUUAUAAAUGACAGGAGCGGAUAAUUUCACAUUUAAUUUAUAAAUGACAGGAGCAGA